UUCUGGCUCAGGAUGAACGCUAGCUACAGGCUUAACACAUGCAAGUCGAGGGGCAGCAUUGGAGUAGCAAUACUUCAGAUGGCGACCGGCGCACGGGUGAGUAACACGUAUCCAACCUGCCGCUUACUCGGGGAUAGCCUUUCGAAAGAAAGAUUAAUACCCGAUGGUAUAAAGAGUUCGCAUGUUCUCUUUAUUAAAGAAUUUCGGUAAGCGAUGGGGAUGCGUUCCAUUAGAUAGUUGGCGGGUAACGGCCCACCAAGUCUACGAUGGAUAGGGGUUCUGAGAGGAAGGUCCCCCACAUUGGAACUGAGACACGGUCCAAACUCCUACGGGAGGCAGCAGUGAGGAAUAUUGGUCAAUGGACGAGAGUCUGAACCAGCCCAAGUAGCGUGAAGGAUGACUGCCCUAUGGGUUGUAAACUUCUUUUAUAAGGGAAUAAAGUGAGGGACGUGUCCCUUUUUGUAUGUACCUUAUGAAUAAGGAUCGGCUAACUCCGUGCCAGCCGCCGC
rnacentral:rRNA from 1 species